rnacentral:rRNA from 1 species
UACGUAGGGAGCAAGCGUUGUCCGGAUUCGCUGGGUGUAAAGGGUGCGUAGGCGGGACAAUAAGUCAGUGGUGAAAUCUUACGGCUCAACCGUGAAACUGCCAUUGAUACUGUUGUUCUUGAGUUCGGGAGAGGUUGAUGGAAUUCCAGGUGUAGCGGUGAAAUGCGUAGAUAUCGGGAGGAACACCGGUGGCGAAGGCGGUUCUCUGGGCCUUACCUGACGCUGAGGAGCGAAAGCGUGGGGAGCGAACAGG